CCCCGACCCCGCGCGCCCCGGCCGGGCCCCCGGCCCCGCCCCGCCCGCCCCGCCGAGCGCGCGGGCCCCGCGGCCUCCGCCGCGCCUCCCGGGCGGGGGCCUUGGGCAGGGGCCGCCGGCUCCCGCUAAAGGCACCCGAGCUGCCUCGGCGCCGUCUCGCCCCAGCGCACGGCGAGCGCCUCGGGAGCCGGGACUCGCCCUCGUCGCUUCGGUCUGGCACGUAGUGGGGCCUAGCGAGAGGCUGCCAGGUGGAAGGAGGCAGAGGUGGCCGGGCCCGGCACUUAGUGGGUGCGCCCUGAGCCUUUGGUCAUUGCCGGCCUCGGGGACUUGCUCGCAGGCUUGGAGGCGGGGGGCCCUCUGACGUGUCGCCUUCGGGAGCACCGUGAGACCCGCGGUCUCCUGUGGUACCUCCCCCACUGGCUGAACCCAAGAGGAAGCCUAAGUGGAAGUGAGCCCAGGUGACAGUGUCCAUCAAGGCUAACCUCUGGAAAAAAAUGGAAGGUGGAUCUGGAAAGACAAAGGCAGAAUAUCUAGCAGCUCCAGGAGAAGUAUUGGCUUGGAUCAGGAAUGUAACACAUCACUGUUGAACUAACUCCUGAAAGGUGGGUCAGAACAGAAGUUUUAAAGGUACAAGACUUCAGUUUGACUGAACAGAAGACUCAGAGAGGCAGAAACAUUGAAGCUACUGAGGAGGAGGAAUAUUUCUCUUGGCACCCAGGAAAGGAAGAAAGACUUGGAAGACGUGUGUGCUUAAGAUUUUGUGUUCAUUUAGAGUUAUUCUCCUUCCCACUCACCUGUAUAAGCAUAUGGACUUUUAAAGUUGGCAUGAUUGAAAAUAAAUAAAUUAAAUAAAUAAAUAAAUAAAAAUUUAAAAAAAGUUGGCAUGAUUGAGAAAGCAUAACUUGACAUAGAAAAAAGAAUCAAUCUUCCCUUAAUUCAGGAGAACAGAGGGGAAACAGUUUGUAUAUGUCGGCAAGUUGUUUAUUACAGUGAUCAGUGAUCAACUUGAGGCAUUUUGUGAUAUAGUUUUCAUCUAUCAAUAUUUUCUUUUUUUUUUAAGAUUUUAUUCAUCUAUUUGUCAGAGAGAGAGAGAGCACAUGCAGAGGGAGCGGCAGAGGGAAAAGCAGGUUCCCCGCUGAGCAGGGAGCCCAAUGUGGGGCUUGAUCCCAGAACCCCGGGGAUCAUGACCUGAGCCGAAGGCACUCUCUCUGAACCACCCAGGUGCCCCUAUCAAUAUUUUCGGAUAGGUGAUUUCAAAACUACUGCCUAAAGAACAGAUCUCAUUUCUUUUUGCCGAACUCCCACAUGCAGGGAACACAGAAAACCAAAACCAAACCAUAGCCCAAAGUGAACUGUGUAGCCUUAGGUCAGGUCCCAACCCGGGGCCAGAGACAGAAACCGAGAGCUGUGGUAAGUAACUGGGCAAACAGGUCAGGACACAGGGAGCAGACCCUAUUGCCACACCAAUGUCCCAGCCCCAGAGGUCACACCAAAGGCAGUGCAGAAAAUGCCAGAGUUCAAGGGCAUCUAGCAGACCAGAAAAGGACUGAAAAAAGCAACUCUGAGCAGAAAGAAGGUAGCCACUGACCCCGCUUUGCAAACUAACCUCUACAUGCCCACAAAGGGCAUUUUAAGUCAUCCAGUGGCCUAUUAAAAGCAGUGAAAAGAAACAAGUGAAAUCAAACUUUAACUAUAUCGGAAGUACUAGUGGGGCACUCGGCUGGCUCAGUGAGUGGAGCAUGUGACUCUUGAUCUCAGGGUCCUGAGUUCAAGCCCCAUGUUGGGCAUGGAGCUUACUUCAUUAAAAAAAAAAGCAUUAUCAUUUCACAUUGUAAUCAAAAGGCCAAAAAUUUAAAUUCCUUUUUUCAUGCUAAGUCUUCAAGAUCUAGAAUGUGUCCCUUUUUUUUUUUUUAAGAUUUUAUUCAUUUGAGAGAGAGACAGAGAGAGCACAAGCAGGGGGAGGGGCAGAGGGAGAAGCAGGCUCCCCACUGAGCUGGGACCCCGACAUGGGGCUCUAUCCCAGGACCCUGAGAUCAUGACUGGAGCCAAAGGCAGACGCUUAACCAUCCAAGUCACCCAGGCGCCCCUGGAAUGCGUCUUGCACUUGCAGUACAUCUCAAUCCAAACUAGCCUCCUUUUGAGUGGUCAGUGGCCUCUGUGGCUAGAGGCCUUGGUGUCAGUCAAUACAGGCUUAGAGAAAACCAUACUUAACAUUCUGGCAUGAAAGCAUUUUCUCUAUAUAUUUUUUCUUUUAUCUUUCUUUCUUUUAAAACAUGUUCAAUUGGGAAGGGCUGGAUUUUGAAGGGAGUGGGAGAAAACUCUCAGAUGCUGAGAAUCUCUAGUGAAAUUUUAUUUAUUUAUUUGCCAGAGAGAGAGAGAGCAUGAGCAGGGGGAGAGGCAGAGGGAGAGGGAGAAGCAGACUCCCCACUGAGCAGGGAGCCCAAUGCGGGACUCGAUCCCAGGACCCUGGGAUUCUGACCUGAGCCGAAGGCAGGUGCUUAACUGACUGAGCCAUCCAGGCAUCCCUCUAGUGUGAAAUUUUAAAUGUUUGAGGUAUCACUGUCCUAGUCAAUUUCCUUCCUUUCCUUGAGACAUGCUGCUUCUUUCUCUUCCUCUUCUUCUUCUUCUUCUUCUUCUUCUUCUUCUUCUUCUUCUUCUUCUUCUUCUUCUUCUUCUUCUUCUUCUUCUUCUUCUUCUUUUAAGCCCCACGAUGCACAGAAAUCCCUUGGGAAGAUAAAAAGACAGGGAAUGUGACACAGGUGGGUGCCUGAUACCAAGCAUUCAUUCCUUCCAUUCAUUUAUUCAUUCAUUCAUGUUUGCUCUUAACAGUAGUUACUAAUCAUCACCUACAGGUUAGGGACUGUGCCUAAGGUUAGUCUUCUAAGGCAUAGUCCCUGGCUUGUGAAACCUCCAAUUUGGCAGAAAAGCCAGAGAAAUAGUUACAAGACAACGUAGGAGGUGUUAUGAAAGGGGAAGUCUGAGCUGCUGCUGAGUGGCCACCUGGGGGAAUAAUGGAAUCCAUCUCCAGAGAUGAGAUAAGAGAAGGCUUUAGGGGUGGAGGAAGGAAGGAAAAUUGAAGGAAGAACAGCUAAGCAAAAGGGAGAAGGGAGGGCUGGAAAAUGCUGGAGGCAGAAAGAGCAGCUCUAAGGAAGGCCCAGAAGCCUUUUGUGGAACUGAAAGGGGUUCCCUGUAGCUGGGGCCUCUCAGGUGAGAGGGAAUGCUGGGAUCAGGCAUCAUUCUCUGCGCAGCCCAGUUAGUGUUGCGAGCUGGGAGGCAGGAUGUUGACGAUUUGGGAAUAGGCAGGCCCAAGACAGGAAGUACUCCACCCUGAAAAUAUUCCUUCCCCAGCUCAGUUCAAGUUCACUAGUUACACAGAUGGGUUAAUGAGCUACUCUGUUUUCUUUUUUUAACUCUUUUUUUUCGUUCCAGUAUAGUUAACAUACAGUGUGAUAUUAGUUUCAGGGGUACGAUAUAGUGAUUCAACACUCCCAUACAUUACUCAGUGCUCAUCAUAAAUACAUGCGCUCUUGAUCCCCAUGCCCUAUUUCUCCCCUUCCUCCCACCCACCUCCCCUCUGGUAACUACUAGUUCCUGUAGUGAAGGGUCUGUUUUUUGGCGAACUGUUCUUUAUAGAAGCAAGAAUCUCUCCUGGUGAUUAUUCUCUUUUCAGAUUAUGUCAGACCUCGAAGCCUUCUUUUUGAUUCUGAAAAUUGAACACAAUUGAAGUUCCAUGUAAUAAAGGUCAUAAUGAAGGGGUGUUAACUCUGCCGGGGAGAGGUCUGCGGAAGAUGACACUCAAACAGGGUCUGGAAGUAGUAGGAUUGACAGGCCUCCAAGUGAAAGGACAUUCUGAGGAUACUAAUGAUCAUUAUUUACUAAGUGUCAGGCACUGUUCUCAUGGUUUACAUUCUAAGCUCACUUUAGCUCCAUAAAAACCCCUAGAUCCCACAGUCCUUGUUUACAGGUAAAGAAACCGAGGUGCAGAGAGGCAAAUUAACUUUAAAGUGACUUGUCAGGGCUCCUGGGUGGCUCAGUGGGUCAAGUGUCUGCCUUCGGCUCAGGUCAUGAUCCCGGGGUCCUGGGAAUGAGCGCUGCAUGGGGCUCCUUGCUCAGCAGGGAGUCUGCUUCUCCCUCUGCCUGCCGCUCCCCCUGCUUGUGUGCUCUUUGACAAAUAAAUAAAAUAUUUGAAAAAAAAUAAAGUGGCUUGUCUAGGAUCACACAGUUUGGAAGAGGUAGAGCAGUUUGGCUCUAGAGCUCACUUCAUAACCCCUCUGUCAUAUUUUGGGGCUGCGAGUGUUUGCAUAUGCCUGCAUUGUAGGGUGAGGGAUUAGCAAGGAAUGUCAGAUCAGACUGAUGAAGGAGGGAGUGGCCAAAUCAUGCAGAGUUUCAGCACCAGCACCUGAAGACAGGCUACAUAGCAGCCUUUAGGUAAAUGUUUUUAUUACUUGAGUGCAUGUAUAAAUGAUUGCUAAUGAUCGUAUUUUUGAAUGUGGUUGCAUUAAGAGAACAUUAUAUUCAAAUCCAGAUUUACACAAACCACAUUUCCAGUGGUGAUUCACUGCCUUAACAGAUUUCCAAAGGAUCUUUUAAACCAUCAAGUUGACGUAGGCAGGCCGGAUCUGAGGACCCAGAGGGGGUCGCACAGGACCAGCCAAGAGGGUCUCUGGCUAUGUGCAGGAUAGAAAUCAAACACAAGCCAGGAGGAAGUGAGAGCAGAGUUUACUGAAUCGCAUAAGGCAUAGAGUAUAGCAGACGGAGUGUCUGGCCGAGUCAGGAUAGGAGACGGAGUCUCUUCCUUGCUUGGGUUCAGGAGGUUAUAUUGGAAAGCGGUUCAGGGUACAUGUUCCUUCAGGAAUCCAGGGUAAGGUCCGAUCGAAGGCAAGUGUCAGGUGAACAAUAGGUGUUAUUUCAUAAAUCACGGAAGGUAGGGGGUACUGAUGCCAGCAGCAGAUGAGGUUUGUUCGAAGCUAAUGUCCUGGAACGUGUUUGGGAUCCAGUACCUUUUAGAUGUGAUCAGGUGUUUGGGGGCCAAGGACCAAACUCAGAAAAUGAUUAACUUUCUUGCUUCCCCCUUGGAGUGGGAACAUAGGUUCUUUGGUUUAUUCGGAUGCAAGUUGAAAUAUAGAACAUGAAUAAAUGGGGCCUCGCAGAAAAACAGAAAAACAGCAGAGACAGAGCCUUUCUAAAAAUGGAGUCCCUUCAGUGUCCCAUUAUUAAUUAUAAAAUGCAAAAGCUCCAAAGGCAAUUUAUCAGUGACGGAGGAGGUAUAAGCCCUAGUUAGAGGAGAGAGGCUAAGGUUGUCCCCAUGCUUGGCCCUUCCCCCACAGGACCUCCACAUUCACAGCACCCUGUCUCCUCUCUAAGAACCAACAACAGCAGGGUCCCUUUCUUUUAGCCGAAGCAGAAUGGCCAAACAGGGAAUUGGUGUCUCCCCACCCCCACUGCAUAUACACACAUAACAACUCAGAAGGCUGCCUCUACAGCUGUCCAGGACUUUUUAAGAGAGCUCCCAAAAAACCUCCCAGGAAGACUUGAGUGGCUCUAGUCACCUAUUUCUGCACAAAAGUCACCUUUAAUGUGGGGGAAUGAGAUUUCUUCCUGACACCCUAUGUGACACAGAGCUCCUUCAUCUUUCAAAAGCCAGGCUCUCUGAUGUCCAUAGCCAUUGGGUUGGUAGGCGGAAAGUCUCAUCUCUUUAGCCCCUGACUUGACCUAAGGGAGGCUGGGAUGGAUGUGUCCUCCCAGCAAACCCAUACAGAUCCUUUUGGGAAGUGGCACCAGGGAAGAACGAGGCUUUCAGGGUGGCCUGUGCACUGGUUUGCCUUGAUACUCCUGGACUACUUCCCUUCCUGGCAGGGUUGUACAGGAACUUUCUCCUUCCACCCACCACUUCCUUCAUUGGGAAAGUCAAGGAGAAAAUGGUAAGAUCAUGGUUAUUUUGAAUAGUUUUGUUUUGUUUUUGUUUAAAAGAUUUUAUUUAUUUAUUUGAGAGAGAGAGAAUGAGAGAGAGCAAGCACAUGAGAGGGGGGAGGGUCAAAGGGAGAAGAAGACUCCCUGCCGAGCGGGGAGCCCGAUGCGGGACUCGAUCCAGGGACUCGAUCCAGGGACUCGAUCCAGGGACUCCAGGAUCAUGAGCUGAGCCGAAGGCAGUCGCUUAACCAACUGAGCCACCCAGGCGCCCAGUUUUGUUUUGUUUUUUUAAUGCAGUCAACUUUGCCUUUGCUGGUAGACACGUUUGAUUUGCAUAGAAGCAAUUAACCAGGGUUCAGCUAUAAUGACAGAUUGACUUUCUGAGCAUUUGGACAUCAGUUUGAACCCACUUCUUGUUUUUAAUAAUUAUUAACAUUCAUUGUCCACUUACCGUUUGUCAUCCAACAGCUCUAUUAACAUGUACUAUCUUGUUUAAUAUUCAAAUGAUUAAAUGGUCUUCUAUUCCCACUUUACACCCAGAAAACUGAAGAUAAAAAAAGAGUUAAUAUAGGGGCACCUGGGUGGCUCAGUUGGGUAAGCGUCCAACUCUUGAUUUUGGCUCAGGUCGUGAUCUCAGGGACAUGAGAUCGAGCCCCAAAUGGGGUUCCAUGCUCAGCGCAGAGUCUGUUAGAGAUUCUCUCUCCCUCUGCCCUCCCCCCGCACUCUCUCUCUCUCUCUCUCUCUCAAAUAAAUAAAUAAAUAAAAUCUUUUUUAAAAUAUAACAAAUUUUUAAAAAAGAGUUAACUUGGGGCAACUGGCUGGCUCAGAAGAGCAUAAUACUCUUGAUCUCGGGGUUGUGAACUUGAGCCCCACAUUGGGUAUAGAGAUUACUUAAAUAAAUAAAAAUAAACUUAAAAAAAAAAGAGUUAACUCACUGACUCAAGAUCAUGCAGCUAGUGAGUGGUUGAUCUGUGAUUUAAAGCCAGGUGGGUCUGACUUAACCUCUAUGACAAGAUGCUUCCUUCAGGCAGACCAGCAGGCUAUCUAUGAAAGAAAAUAUCAGACAUGUCAUUGUGAUGGAUGGGAUCUAAAAGACUUAUAUGUUGAGAAGAUUGGCAGCCCAGUGAGCAGAGAAAAUAGCAUGUCAGAGUCCCACAUUUGGAAAAUUUAAUGCCUCAGGCUUUAUGUCUUUAUCUAGUCCGGAAUCACCUGUCCUAAAUAUCUGAAUUAUUUUCAUAAGACACACAGUUUCCACUUCAACACUGCAGGGAAACUUCAUUAAGCCUUUCCAGAUCCACACAGUUUAUAUUAAUCUCUCUAGGUCCUAUUCCUUCCUACCAGAUUCUUUUCAUUCCAAUUAUUUCUUGCUCAGUCUGUCUGUUCCUCAAGACCGUAAGCUCCCGGGAAGGAAGCACCCCACACCUAACCCCAUUUCUAGUUUGUGCUGGACAUUAUGUUUCCUCUUUUACAUUGCUAUACUGGCCCAACUGUGGCCCAGCGUCCCUUGGAAGUCUCCUCUGAGAGAGAGGUGAGAGUGUCCUUUGACAGUGCCUAAAAGAUUCUGCCUCCUCUCUUGAGUUUCUAUAGAAUGUAUAGGCUGACGGUUACACCUUGUUUCCUUUCAUAAAGAUAGCUUUUACUUUUAUUUUUUAUUUUUUUAAAGAUUUUAUUUAUUUAUUUAUUUGAGAGAGAGAGAGAGAGAGAGAAACAGCAUGAGAGGGGAUAGGGUCAGAGGGGGAAGCAGGCUCCCUGCUGAGCCGGGAGCCAGAUGUGGGACUCAAUCCCAGGACUCCGGGAUCAUGACCUGAGCCGAAGGCAGUCGCUUAACCAACUGAGCCACCCAGGCGCCCAACUUUUACUUUUAUUUUUUAAAGAUUUUAUUCAUUUAUUUGAGAGAGAGAGCAAGCACGAGCGAAGGGAGGGGCAGAGGGAGAGGGAGAAGCAGACUCCCCACUGAGCAGGGAGCCCAAUGGGGCUCGAUCCCAGGACGCGGAGAUCAUGACCUGAGCCAAAGGCAGACACUUAACUGACUGAGCCACUCAGCCACCCCUAUUUUUAUUUUUUUCUGCUGCAAAUGAUACUGAAAAUUCUUCAAGGACUAGGGCUAUGUCUUCUGCUUUUUACUUUGAAAAAUCCUCUUUCAGCCUUGAGCACACAUUGUGGGCCACCAUCCCCAUUUAUCUGAAUGAAGAUAACUUUAGAGUUUGGUUUGAUCCACCUGCCUCUGGGCAGACUGAGCCUCCCAGGCCUUAACAUCUCCAUUCAUUCAUUUGACAAUUCAUUUCAAUUGUUUAUUUCAUGUAAUAUUCUGGGGGUAAAAAGUAAGAAGGCCCUUGCCCCCAGGAAACUCACAGUCUGGUGAGAGCAACAGAUACAUAAUUAGAUGGUGAGUAUGUGGGCAGGAGAAAUGCAGUGGAGGCUUCCCAGAGGACGUGAUACAUGAGCUUAAUUUGAAAGGCAAGGAGGAAUAAAAGGUUUUGGGGUGGGAUGGAGAACUUUCCAGGCAGCAGAAGCAGCUUACACAAAAGCGAGAGCAUGCAGCAUUCAGGGAACUAUAUACUUUCAAACAUGAGGACAGUAAGACCAGCAGGAGAGGUAGGCAGGAGCCAGAACACAAAAUGCCUUUUGUAGCAUGCCAAGGAAUUUGGCCAUAUCCUGAAAGUCAGGAAGAUCUACUGAAAGGUUUUAUGUAAGGAAGUAGCAUCAUCACAUUUAUGGUUUGAAUAAAUCAUUCUGGCUGCCGUGUGAAGGAUUGGAGUGAGGCAAGGUGUGGGAGCAAGACUAUAGGCUGAAAGACUGGCUGGGAGUUCACUACAACAAUCAGGAUAAGUAGCAUGAACCAAGGCAGUGACAGUGGGGUUGGAGAAAGUGGAUGAAUAAGAGAGACAUUAAGAAAGUAGAAUAACAAGAUUGGUGACUAAUUGGAUUUGGCAAGUGAGUGAGAAGGAAGAAUCAAGAAUGACAAUUACUUUUGUGAUUGAGUGGUGCCUUUUUUUUUGGUAAAGAUUUAUUUAUUUAUUUGAGAGAGUGAAAAUGAGAGAAUGAGAGAGAGAGAGAGUACAUGAGAGGGGGGAGGGUUAGAGGGAGAAGCAGGCUCCUCGCUGAGCAGGGAGCCCGAUGCGGGACUUGAUCCAGGGACUCUAGGAUCAUGACCUGAGCUGAAGGCAGUCGCUCAACCAACUGAGCCACCCAGGCGCCCGAGUGGUGCCUUUUUUUUAAAGAUUUUAUUUAUUUAUUAGAG